rnacentral:rRNA from 1 species
GACGAACGCUGGCGGCGUGCUUAACACAUGCAAGUCGAACGGAAAGGCCCUGCUUUUGUGCGGUGCUCGAGUGGCGAACGGGUGAGUAACACGUGAGUAACCUGUCCCUGACCUUGGGAUAUCUUCAGGAAACUGGGGCUCAUACCGCAUAGGAGCUCUUGCUGCAUGGUGGGCGUUGGAAAGAUUCGGCUGUUGGGGAUGGACUCGCGGCCUAUCAGCUUGAUGGGUGGGUAGUGGCUUACCAAGGCUUUGCCGGGUUGCCGGCCUGGGAGGCGGGCCCGCCCAAUUGGGCCUGAGAUACGGCCCAGACCCGAACGGGAGGGAGCGGUGGAGAAGAGUGCACAGUAGGAGGAGGCCAGGUGCAGCAACGCCGCGUGCGGGAUGAGGGGCUGGGGGUUGUAAACCAAUGUCGCCUGUGCCGAGGCGUUAGUGACGGUAAUGGGUAAAGAAGCACCGGCUAACUACGUG